rnacentral:rRNA from 1 species
CCGCGUGUGUGAAGAAGGCCUGAGGGUUGUAAAGCACUUUCAAUAGGAAGGAAUACCUAUCGGUUAAUACCCGGUAGACUGACAUUACCUAUACAAGAAGCACCGGCUAACUCCGUGCCAGCAGCCGCGGUAAUACGGAGGGUGCAAGCGUUAAUCGGAAUUACUGGGCGUAAAGCGUGCGUAGGCGGUUAUUUAAGUCAGAUGUGAAAGCCCUGGGCUUAACCUGGGAACUGCAUUUGAUACUGGAUGACUAGAGUUGAGUAGAGGAGAGUGGAAUUUCAGGUGUAGCGGUGAAAUGCGUAGAGAUCUGAAGGAACACCAGUGGCGAAGGCGGCUCUCUGGACUCAAACUGACGCUGAGGUACGAAAGCGUGGGUAGCAAACAGGAUUAGAUACCCUGGUAGUCCACGCCGUAAACGAUGUCAACUAACCGUUGGGUUCUUUAAGAACUUAGUGGUGGAGCUAACGUAUUAAGUUGACCGCCUGGGGAGUACGGCCGCAAGGCUAAAACUCAAAUGAAUUGACGGGGGCCCGCACAAGCGGUGGAGCAUGUGGUUUAAUUCGAUGCAACGCGAAGAACCUUAC